CCUACGGGUGGCUGCAGUAAGGAAUAUUGGUCAAUGGACGAAAGUCUGAACCAGCCAUCCCGCGUGCAGGAUGAAAGCCCUAUGGGUUGUAAACUGCUUUUAGCAGAGAAGAAAAGCUUUCAUUAAUGAGAGUCUGACGGUAUCUGCAGAAUAAGCACCGGCUAACUCCGUGCCAGCAGCCGCGGUAAUACGGAGGGUGCGAGCGUUAUCGGGAAUUACUGGGGCGUAGGGGUGCGUAGACGGAGUAUGAGAAAUGUUGUGGAUUAACGAUAGAAUUGCCAAUGAUACUGGUACUCUUGAAUUGGGUUGAGGUUAGCGGAAUGUGACAUGUAGCGGUGAAAUGCAUAGAUAUGUCAUGGAACACCAAUUGCGAAGGCAGCUAACUGGGCCUUGAUUGACGCUGAGGCACGAAAGCGUGGGUAGCGAACAGGAUUAGAUACCCGAGUAGUC
rnacentral:rRNA from 1 species